rnacentral:misc_RNA from 1 species
UGGUUCUGGCAUCGAUGAAGAACGCAGCGAAAUGCGAUAAGUAAUGUGAAUUGCAGAAUUCAGUGAAUCAUCGAGUUUUUGAACGCACAUUGCGCCCUUUGGUAUUCCGAAGGGCAUGCCCGUUCGAGCGUCAUUUCACCAAUCAAGCCUGGCUUGGUGUUGGGCCCCGGGGGUCACCCGGGCCCUCAGUUCUCCGGCGGGAGCGCCCCGACCGCAGCGGUAUGGCAACCCCUUCGCUGCCGCAGACGGGCGCCCCGGCCGUCAAAUCACUUCAAAGGUUGACCUCGGAUCGGGUAGGGAUACCCGCUGA